AGAUUAAACUGAAGAGUUUGAUCCUGGCUCAGAUUGAACGCUGGCGGCAUGCCUUACACAUGCAAGUCGAACGGCAGCGCGGGGCAACCUGGCGGCGAGUGGCGAACGGGUGAGUAAUAUA
rnacentral:rRNA from 2 species